rnacentral:ncRNA from 1 species
CAAAGUUUUAUUUUUGCUUGAAAUUAAGUUUAUUUAUUUUAUAAAUAUAUUAAAAUAUAGAUUUGUUUAAUUGUAUUAUAACUAAUUAUAAAAAAUUAAUUAUUGUUAUAGAUAUAAAUUCUAAAAGUAGUUAAAAUUGUGCCAGCAACUGCGGUUAAACAAUUGCUUUGAUUUAAUUUUAUAUAAAUUUUAUUUUUUGAAUUUUAAGAAUAAAAUAUUAUGUUUUAAGUGAAAUUAAAUUAUAAUAAAUUAACUUUUAUAUUAAAUAAUUUAAGAAAAUUAAUGAUUUAGACUGGGAUUAGAUACCCCAUUAUUAUUAAUGUAAAAUUUUAAUUUAAGGUAGUAAAUGUUAUGUUCAGGAAACUUAAAAAAUUUGGCGGUGAUUAAUUUAAUAGAGGAAUAUGUUUUUGAAUCGAUAAUCCACGAUUAUUCAACUUAAUUUAAUUUAAUUUGUAUAUCUCCGUCUUAAAAAAUAUUUUUAAAAAUUAUUUUUUUAUAUUUAAGAAAAUAAAAAGACAGGUCAAGGUGCAGUUUAUAGUUAAGGUAAAAUGUAUUACAAUAAAAAUAUUUAUGAAUUAUAUAUUAAAAUUUAUAUGAAAUUGGAUUUAUUAGUAAAUUAAUUUAAAUAAUAAUUAUUUGAAGGGUUUAUUAAACAUGCACAUAUUGCCCGUCAUUCUCUUAUUAAUUAGAGGUAAGUCGUAACAAAGUAGAUUAACUGGAAAGUGAAUCUGGUUUCAG